rnacentral:rRNA from 1 species
GACGAACGCUGGCGGCGGGCCUAAUACAUGCAAGUAGAACGCUGAAGGAGGAGCUUGCUUCUCCGGAUGAGUUGCGAACGGGUGAGUAACGCGUAGGUAACCUGCCUGGUAGCGGGGGAUAACUAUUGGAAACGAUAGCUAAUACCGCAUAACAGUAGAUGUUGCAUGACAUUUGCUUAAAAGGUGCAAUUGCAUCACUACCAGAUGGACCUGCGUUGUAUUAGCUAGUUGGUGAGGUAACGGCUCACCAAGGCGACGAUACAUAGCCGACCUGAGAGGGGGAUCGGCCACACUGGGACUGGGACACGGCCCAGAACCCUACGGGGGGCAGCAGUAGGGAAUCUUCGGAAAUGGACGGAAGGCUGACCGAGCACCGCCGCGGGAGUGAAGAAGGGUUUCGGAUCGUAAAGCUCUGUUGUAAGAGAAGAACGAGUGUGAGAGUGGAAAGUUCACACUGUGACGGUAUCUUAACAGAAAGGGACGGCUAACUACGUG